rnacentral:snRNA from 1 species
UUGCUUCAGUAGCACACAUACUAAAAUUGGAACAAUACAAGAAGAUUAGCAGGACCUCUGUGCA